GAGAUUGACCAAAGUCUAUCCAUCCAAGAGGUGAGGAAGUAGGAAGGAGGAGGAUAAGAGAGAGAGAAGAGAGAGAGAGAGAGAGAGAGAGAGAAUGGAGGCUUUAUAUCUUCUCUGGUCAAUAGCAUACACCACUGUAACAUCGGCUCUUUUCUCGCUUCUAAUCCCUUUCCAGACAUUUCUACACCUCUUCUUCCUCUCUCCCAACCCCAAUGCUGUCUUCCUUUACCAAGGCCACGUGCAUCACGUGCGCAAGCGACCCGUCUUCCACUCCUUCCAGUACGACGUUCGCUACGCCCUCUUCGAUCUCGACCUCUCACCUCCCUUCUUCUCCACCCACCUCUCAGCUCAGGAAGCCCGCCACAUCACUCACACAUCCGGACCUGUGUUACUUCUUACCAUACCUCCCAGUGUGGGAUAUGAACAGAAUCCAUUGAGCGUUUAUUACUGCUACGAUCUUCAUGGGUCUACUCCCCUUUUAAACAAAUGCAUUGCUGAGGUAACAAACACACCUUGGGGUGAAAGAGUCUCAUUUGUUUUCGAUCCAGAUUCAGAUUUAGUGGCGAAGCCUUUGCACGUCAGCCCCUUUAUGGAUAUGCUUGGAAACUGGAGAAUGCGAGCAAAAGCACCUGGGGAGGAUCUCUCUCUUGAAAUUUCAGUUCAACACCCUGAGCUCGGGGACUAUUUUACGGCUACAUUGAAAGCCAAAAGGGUCCACUCCUCAAGGUCACAUUGUCUUGCAUUAUUUUUUUGGUUGAUGCCUCAAAAGGUGGCAUUGUGGAUUUAUUGGCAGUUUUCCAGAGGCUGAUGUCUAAUUCUUUAGCAUGGAGUCUCACUGUGCUUCUUUGAAAGGCAAUGGGAUGUUUGAUGGCCAUAUUUAAGUGGUUGUUACCUCAUGAUUAUCUUCUCCAGCUUUUGGACCCAACUGCAAGCUCUGUGGGAAGUAAAAUUUUUGAUUGUUGGGGAUGAAGCUUGCUUCAUCUACCACAUUUUUUGUAAUCCUGGCUAGGAUAUCUUGUCUUGGGCUUCCAAGAUGGAGGAUGGGCAGUGGUGGCUGGUCGGGCCAUUGUGCAUUUUUGGACCAGUGUAUAGGUCUUUUUUUUUUUUUUUUAUGGAAGCUUGCACUUAUUAGGGCCAGCUUCAGGAAUGAAGACCUUGAUCCUUUUUUAUUCUGGAAUGCUAGGCCAGGUACUGCAAUCCAUCUGUACGGCUACUUGGUUACAUGCGAAUUUCACAAUGGUAUGUUUCUGGUAUGGAGCGUUUGGUGGCAUGUUUGAUAGCAUUGGUUCCAUGUGAUUCAGUCUUCCUCCAUUGCAGGGCUGUUUCACUGCUCCUUUUAUGCUCGACGGUGUGUUUGGUUGCACCAAAUGUCAUGAAAUUUCAAGCAUUUGGUGGAACCAAAUGUACCCGAAGUUCCUUAACUUGAAGGAAAUUUCUCAUAUGAUUGGCUGUGUUAUAGCAGAGGGCGGGCAGGCCUCGUUCUAUUUUCUUACUGCAGUGGACAAGAUUCUAUGCAGCUCAAGGAGUGUUUGGAUUGAUGGUGUUGUGUUGCUGCUGCAAAUAGAGUUUGAUCAUGGGUGGGGUUUGAUAGGAUUAUGGAUUUUUUAUUUUUUAUUUUGGUUGGCUUUAGCCUUUUCUUUUUUCUUUUCUUUUUUGGGUUGGGAUCUUUGUUGAGCCUUCUGUUGGUGGGGACUUUGUGGUGUACUCAUUUCCAUCUAUUAUGAUUUAAUGAAGGCAAAUGUGCACAAACCUUCAACUUUGAAGGCAUUUUGCACAAAGAAUUUCCCUAACCCUUCCGUUCCUGCAAGCGCACCCUUUUUCUUUGGGGGAAUUUCACAUAAAACUAUCUACUUAACAUAGAGUU